rnacentral:rRNA from 1 species
ACGGAAGGCAGCAGUGGGGAAUAUUGCACAAUGGGCGAAAGCCUGAUGCAGCGACGCCGCGUGAGUGAAGAAGUAUCUCGGUAUGUAAAGCUCUAUCAGCAGGGAAGAAAAUGACGGUACCUGACUAAGAAGCCCCGGCUAACUACGUGCCAGCAGCCGCGGUAAUACGUAGGGGGCAAGCGUUAUCCGGAUUUACUGGGUGUAAAGGGAGCGUAGACGGAAUGGCAAGUCAGAAGUGAAACUCCGGGGCUCAACCCCGGAACUGCUUUUGAAACUGUCAAUCUUGAGUACUGGAGAGGUAAGCGGAAUUCCUAGUGUAGCGGUGAAAUGCGUAGAUAUUAGGAGGAACACCAGUGGCGAAGGCGGCUUACUGGACAGCAACUGACGUUGAGGCUCGAAAGCGUGGGGAGCAAACAGGAUUAGAUACCCUGGUA